rnacentral:ncRNA from 1 species
UCGAUAAAGGCAAAAUCAAAGUGAUUUGGUGACGCAAAACUAUAGGGUCUUAUAUAAAGAUAAGACAGCCAGCUACCGU